rnacentral:misc_RNA from 1 species
GAGACCGUGUUACUUCAGCAAAAGGUUACAUGUCAACAUUUUCAGCUAUAUGAUUAAUAAUCUCUAUUAGAAUCGUGCAUAUUAUUGUUAUUUUACAUUACUGCAUGAAUGGUUUAAAGAAUCUCUAUUUUAUACAAGGUUUUUGGUGGUUCUAUUUGUUUACAAUGAAUUGAAAAUGAAUGUCAUAUUUAUUGACUUUGUUAUGACAGAUUAAGGAGCUAGAAGACAAG